GCCUUCGUGGUGUAAUGGCCAGCACACUGGGCCUGUAUUCCAGAGGUCCGUGGUUCGAUUCCCGGCGAAGGCG
rnacentral:tRNA from 1 species